rnacentral:rRNA from 1 species
UACAGAGGGUGCGAGCGUUAAUCGGAAUUACUGGGCGUAAAGCGCACGUAGGCGGCUUGGUAUGUCGGGUGUGAAAUCCCCGGGCUCAACCUGGGAACUGCAUCCGAAACUGCCUUGCUCGAGUAUGGGAGAGGGAAGUGGAAUUUCCGGUGUAGCGGUGAAAUGCGUAGAUAUCGGAAGGAACAUCAGUGGCGAAGGCGACUUCCUGGACCAAUACUGACGCUCAGGUGCGAGAGCGUGGGGAGCAAACAGG